UCGAAGUUGUCGUUGUCGCCAAAGACAAAAGAACGCUCACUCGCGCAGGCCACCAGACAAGAGGUGAACUUGAAGGCUGGGCAACGGUUGGCUUCAACGUAGAUUUUGACAAAGACAUCCCAUUCGGCUUACCAACAACACUGCCAGCAACUACAACGUUAAGGUCAGUUACAAAACUGACAGUAGCUUUUUACGUUAGCUAUCUAAAAACAUCACUGGGCAAAAACGACGACAAAGAUACAUACACACUCCGGCGUCGUCAGACGGAAAACGUCUCUGGCCAGAGAAAGUCCUGCUGUGGCGACUCCUAAUACUGCCGCUUCGAUUGUUGUUGUUUCUAAUUCUGUCUCUGCGGCUACUAGUUAAUAUGACGCUUACGCAGGCAGCGCCUUGAAAAAUCCCUUGUUAUUGUUAUCGUUGUUGCUAAUUGUGUUUAUGUGAAUAUGAGAGUGCUGGAAAAUUCACAGGGAUGCUGUUCCUUGUAUAAUUAGCGAUCGUCCAAUCACAUAGUUUCGACAUUGUAUAAUAUUGCCGCAUUAAUAAACAACAUAUCGACCGACAAUCCGUACUUCGAUCCAUAUUUCAACUGUUGGUAGUACAGAGAUAGCGGAUGCAUCGUUUUCAACCCAAGUCAUCUGGACGCAUGCUGUUACCAGCAAAACUGUGAAAGUGACAUUUACCAAUUUCAACGAACAAGCCAUUUGGAAACAAGUCGAUUUCAUUCAAAGUGGACCUUGAGCCUUUCCUGAAACGGAAACCCUUCAUCUUGUUUAUGUUCGAGAAGUGGAAAACCGAUCUCGUUACCAUGUUCCGCGUGUUACUAGGCAUCAGGGGGUGGAGUCGGGCGGUGAAGUACGCGCAACGGUCGAACGGCGAACCAAAGGAUCAGCCACCCAUUAACUCGUCGUUCGGCUCGCACCGCAAGACAGGCUUGCUUAUUUUACUGGCGCAACAAACGUCUGCCAGCAAAGCACCCUGAAAUCCAUUCUGCUCCCAGUCUUCGUACUUCGUCUUCGGCUUUUCGCUUGCUUCGAUCUUCGUUCGCGUCUUUACCGUGUCCCACUUCUGCCACUGAUUUCUAUAUCUGAUUCUGCUGCCGCUACUGGUGGUCCGCACUGGGCGAAUGUCGCCGAGCUUCGCCGAGAAGCCGCGGGUGUACAGCGCUAUGAGGACAAUUAGAUGAUGCCUUUCCUGAAAAUAAACGAAAAGAAGCGGAUCGCAUCUGGAAAUCGAACGAGUGCAAUAACGAGCAGAAUACCAUGGCUUCCGCGAUCGGGCAUUAACUAAGUAGCAAAACAAAUAAAAAAAAAAAAAAGG